rnacentral:rRNA from 1 species
GAUGAACGCUGGCGGCGUGCCUAAUACAUGCAAGUCGAGCGAACAGACGAGGAGCUUGCUCCUCUGACGUUAGCGGCGGACGGGUGAGUAACACGUGGAUAACCUACUUAUAAGACUGGGAUAACUUCGGGAAACCGGAGCUAAUACCGGAUAAUAUAUUGAACCGCAUGGUUCAAUAGUGAAAGACGGUUUUGCUGUCACUUAUAGAUGGAUCCGCGCCGCAUUAGCUAGUUGGUAAGGUAACGGCUUACCAAGGCAACGAUGCGUAGCCGACCUGAGAGGGUGAUCGGCCACACUGGAACUGAGACACGGUCCAGACUCCUACGGGAGGCAGCAGUAGGGAAUCUUCCGCAAUGGGCGAAAGCUUGACGGAGCAACGCCGCGUGAGUAAUGAAGGUCUUCGGAUCGUAAAACUCUGUUAUUAGGGAAGAACAAAUGUGUAAGUAACUAUGCACGUCUUGACGGUACCUAAUCAGAAAGCCACGGCUAACUACGUG